rnacentral:rRNA from 1 species
GCAGUCGAGGGGUAUAUUUCUUCGGAGAUAGAGACCGGCGCACGGGUGCGUAACGCGUAUGCAAUCUACCUUUCACAGAGGGAUAGCCCAGAGAAAUUUGGAUUAAUACCUCAUAGUAUAGCUCUACCGCAUGGUAGUACUAUUAAAGUCACAACGGUAAAAGAUGAGCAUGCGUCCCAUUAGCUAGUUGGUAAGGUAACGGCUUACCAAGGCUACGAUGGGUAGGGGUCCUGAGAGGGAGAUCCCCCACACUGGUACUGAGACACGGACCAGACUCCUACGGGAGGCAGCAGUGAGGAAUAUUGGACAAUGGGCGCAAGCCUGAUCCAGCCAUGCCGCGUGCAGGAUGACGGUCCUAUGGAUUGUAAACUGCUUUUAUACGAGAAGAAACACUGCUUCGUGAAGCAGCUUGACGGUAUCGUAAGAAUAAGGAUCGGCUAACUCCGUGCCAGCAGCCGCGGUAAUACGGAGGAUCCAAGCGUUAUCCGGAAUCAUUGGGUUUAAAGGGUCCGUAAGCGGUUUAAUAAGUCAGUGGUGAAAGCCCAUCGCUCCACGGUGGAACGGCCAUUGAUACUGGUAAACUUGAAUUAUUAAGAAGUAAC